rnacentral:rRNA from 1 species
CCUACGGGAGGCAGCAGUGGGGAAUAUUGGACAAUGGGCGAAAGCCUGAUCCAGCAAUGCCGCGUGAGUGAUGAAGGCCUUAGGGUUGUAAAGCUCUUUUACCAGGGAUGAUAAUGACAGUACCUGGAGAAUAAGCUCCGGCUAACUCCGUGCCAGCAGCCGUGGUAAUACGGAGGGAGCUAGCGUUGUUCGGAAUUACUGGGCGUAAAGCGUACGUAGGCGGUUAUUCAAGUCAGAGGUGAAAGCCUGGAGCUCAACUCCAGAACUGCCUUUGAAACUAGAUAGCUAGAAUCUUGGAGAGGUGAGUGGAAUUCCGAGUGUAGAGGUGAAAUUCGUAGAUAUUCGGAAGAACACCAGUGGCGAAGGCGACUCACUGGACAAGUAUUGACGCUGAGGUACGAAAGCGUGGGGAGCAAACAGGAUUAGAUACCCUGGUAGUCCACGCCGUAAACGAUGAUAACUAGCUGUUCGGGCUCUACGAGCUUGAGUGGCGCAGCUAACGCAUUAAGUUAUCCGCCUGGGGAGUACGGUCGCAAGAUUAAAACUCAAAGGAAUUGACGGNUUGAGAGNGCGAGGACGACGACGAGGAGAGG